rnacentral:tRNA from 1 species
GCGGGCGUAGCUCAGGGGUAGAGCGUCUGCUUCCCAAGCAGAAGGUCGCGGGUUCGAAUCCCGUCGCCCGCU